rnacentral:rRNA from 1 species
GAUCCCUGCCGGACCCGACUGCUAUCGGAUUGAGAUUUAGCCAUGCGAGUCGAACGCUCCCCUGUUGCGGGGGGCGUGGCGUACGGCUCAGUAACACGUAGUCAACCUGCCCUGGAGACAAGGACAACCCCGGGAAACUGGGAUUAAUCCGUGAUAGGUCAUCUCAUCUGGAAAGAGAGAUGGCUUAAAGGGGUGCGCGGGCUUCUUCCGUGCAUUCGCUCCAGGAUGGGACUGCGUCCGAUCAGGCUGUUGGCGGGGUAAUGGCCCACCAAACCUGUAACCGGUACGGGCCUUGAGAGAGGUGGCCCGGAGAUGGACACUGAGAGAAGGGUCCAGGUCCUACGGGGCGCAGCAGGCGCGAAACCUUCGCAAUGCGCGAAAGCGUGACGAGGUUAAUCCGAGUNGGCCCCCGCUGAGGGGGUCUUUUGUCAGCUGUAAAUAGGCGGGCGA